UGCUUUACACAUGCAAGUCGUACGAGAGUUUUUAACUCAAGUGGCGGACGGGUGAGUAACACGUAAGAAUUUGCCUUUAGGAGGGGGAUAACCACUGGAAACGGUUGCUAAUACCCCAUAUGCUUUCGAGUGAAAUGGAUGUUUCCGCCUAAAGAGAAGCUUGCGGCUGAUUAGCUUGUUGGUAAGGUAAUGGCUUACCAAGGCGACGAUCAGUAUCUGGUUUGAGAGGACGAUCAGACACACUGGAACUGAGACACGGUCCAGACUCCUACGGGAGGCAGCAGUGGGGAAUUUUCCGCAAUGGGCGAAAGCCUGACGGAGCAAUACCGCGUGAGGGAUGACGGCCUAUGGGUUGUAAACCUC
rnacentral:rRNA from 1 species